rnacentral:rRNA from 1 species
AGCGAACGCUGGCGGCAGGCCUAACACAUGCAAGUCGAACGAACCUUUCGGGGUUAGUGGCGGACGGGUGAGUAACACGUGGGAACGUGCCUUUAGGUUCGGAAUAACUCAGGGAAACUUGUGCUAAUACCGAAUGUGCCCUUCGGGGGAAAGAUUAAUCGCCUUUAGAGCGGCCCGCGUCUGAUUAGCUAGUUGGUUGAGGUAAUGGCUCACCAAGGCGACGAUCAGUAGCUGGUCUGAGAGGAUGAUCAGCCACAUUGGGACUGAGACACGGCCCAAACGCGUGCGGGAGGAAGCAGUGGGGAAUCUAGCGCAAUGGGCGAAGGCCUGAAGCAGCCAUGCCGGGUGAAUGAUGAAGGUCUUAGGAUUGUAAAAUUCUUUCACCGGGGACGAUAAUGACGGUACCCGGAGAAGAAGCCCCGGCUAACUUCGUG